UUGGCUAUCUUCUUCGUUUUCUUGGAUGAUUUUGCUGAUUUACAGAUUCUUGGAAAUAUGGUUGGUUGUUUUCUGGUUGAAGUUCUUUGUUUUCUAGGCUGAUUAUUGUGAUCUACAGAUUUUUGGUAAUGUUGCUGGAUGUUUUCUUGGUUAAAGGGCAUUUCUUGGGGAAUAUAUAUCAUUCUUGUAGUUUUAUUUUGGUUCAUACUGGGCAUGUUUCUUUAAUCCCCAUACAGGUUUAAAAAAGGGUUACAGAG
rnacentral:misc_RNA from 1 species